rfam:Loxodonta africana unplaced genomic scaffold scaffold_125, whole genome shotgun sequence.
GCAGUGGUGGUUUAGUGGUACAACUCUCGCCUUCCGUGCGGGAAACCAGGGUUCGAUUCCUGGCCAGUGCA